GGAAGGGGAGGUGUCUCUCUUAGAACUGGCUAUUUUGCCCAGACUGGUCUCAGAUUCAGAGAUCUGCGUGUCUCCACCUCCUGAGUGCUGAAGUUAAAGGUUGAGCCACCACACCCAGCAAAUCUGGGGACUUUGCAAAAGGCUAUGCUUUUGGGGAUUGAUGGCUACAAGGUGAAAGGGGAUGCUCAUUGAUCAGUGGGAACAGGAGUGCUGGGCCUUUCACAUGGGAAGACUGUAGCAUGUGCGAAGUAGAUUUCUUCCUCCUGAAGACUGGUUGAUUAGGACACAGAGAGAUACAGGUACACUGUAUGGAGGAGGGUGACCAAGAGUAGCAGUGGUGUGCCCUGAAAGAUGCUUCGGCCUGCUCCUUUGGUAAGUAUUUACUACCAAAAGCUAGUCAUAGACUUUUGGGAGCACACACCUGUACGAGGCUAACAGCUUCCAAAGUGCAAUUAUUUAAUUUAUUACAUUUCUUUUGUGAAUAGGAAGGGUGGCUUUGUGCCUUUUCUCACGUGAUGCUCACUUUGUCUUGAUUUAAAAAGAAGAAAACAACAACGAUUUCGUUUUGCAACUUUCUUUAGGGGACUGAUGAGGAGAAAUGAAAGUCCACUGGCAGGGUCUCCUUGGCUUAGCAGGGGCACAGCCAUGGGAAGGGGCCGCUAACCCUUCCUGCUAAUGCCUGCAGCAUGCACACAAGACUGUCUGGCCUCUAGGAAGAAAGGAAAAGAGAUGACGGGGCCUGGGGAGUAAGCCCGUUCCAAGAAGAAACUGUGAGUAGAGAAAAAUCAAGUUUCUUAAGCUCAGCAAGGCUUCAGAGCUUGUCUAGAGGCUCUGAAGGACACCAGGACAAAGGCUACUGCGCCCCCUGGUGUUGGACUCAGAUCAGAUUCCAGAGAGCUGUGUGGAGACCAGCAGCCAGGAGCUUCCUAAAGGAACCACAGAAAAGUUUCUUCUGUUUGCUAAGCACAUUGAGUAGAAUUCGCCCUUACUUUCUCAAUUCUGUAGUCUAAGUAGAUACCCUCUGCUCUAGAGAGAGCUGUGUGUACCGCCGGCUACUUUGUUUUAUUUGGUUUUCUUUGCAUAAAAUUUAGUCUAGCGGGACAAAGACCGCUUAAAAGCGACCCUGUUUUGGGGGGAGUGCAGCAGUCUGCAAACAACUCUGCAUUGUGGGUGAUGUUCUGGUUUGAGGGGAGUCGUUUGAAACUUCACAACCCCUUGUUCCUCCUCUUAAAAGCAGAUAGUUUUGAAUAGGAUGUUUUAAGGGCUCCCUUAAGCUCCAGUGUUGAAUAAGUGGUACACUGAGCCAUCUUUUCUCAGAGCCUUGCAAAAGGGAUUUGUUAAUUUCUUUGCAGGUGCAGGCCCAUUUCAGCAUCCAAAGUUUCCUGAUUCUGAGCGAAGAUUUUUAAAAGUGCAAAAUGUAUCUCUUUUCAGCACAGAAGCCCCUCACCCUCCAGUCUCAAGUAAAAACCCAGCUAGGAAGCUGGAGAGUGAGCACAGCUCAGUCGCUGCUAUUUCUUUUAAAAAUAAAGUACUAAGUGUUGUGCUGGAAAUUCUGCUCAGUGUCUCGUGUGGUAGGUGUGAAUACAUGCUUUAAUUGUUCCAGGCACUAGACCAAAAACUUCCCCAGAAUUAGCAGGGUUUUCAGCUAUAAUCUGGCUAACAUUUUUCUGCAAAUAGGUAUGAAGACCAGACUGAAUUGCCAUCGAAAUUUACAGCCAUUCCUCAUCUAGUCAGGUGAUCAGCCCCGGGGAAGAAUUAUGGCGCCACUGAGAGUUUUCCACUCCUCAAACCUGUAUGUCUUGUCUCUAACGUGAGCAGUCGGUUAUGCCUCGGGCAGCUUCUUCCCUCUGCACUGCUGCUCCACUGUUAUCUCUGUGCAAUGGGCACAGUUUCUUACUAGCAUCACUACUAGGGAUCUCAUGAGUGCCCCAGAAAGAAUAUUUGAGCAGCUACUUUAGUGCUGUAGCUGUGGCAAACGUAUGCAGCCGUUGUCCCAAAUGACAGUGUCUGGAGGAGCUGGUCUCCCUCUGAGAGAGGUGAGCCUGGAAGGGCAGCACACAGAUGAGAUGCCCUGUGAUAACUGACUCCUGCCUCACAAAGGGGAAGACCCUGAGUAAGAAGGGUUUACCAGAUGGCUAAUGCAGUGGUUGGGAGCACCAUGACCCCCAUUGAAGGAAACAACUCUGUUACGGGCUAAAGUGCAUGAUUCCAAAAUUCCUAUGUUACAGUUCUAAUCCCUCGGACCUCAGAACGUGGUUGCAUUCAGAGAUAGGUUCAUUGUUUAAAAAACAAUAUCCAUUUAUUACUUGUUUAUUUAUUGUGUUUAUGUACUAGAGUUGGCUUCCACUUUUUGGGUUCCAGGGAUCGUAUUUCGAGGAUCCAUCGAGGUGCUUGGCAGCGAGCACCUUUACCUGCUGAGUCAUCAGCCCCAGGAGACAGGUUCUUUAGAAACACAAUUAUGUCUCAGUGACGUAAGCCUUAAUUAAUCUAAGGUGACCAACGUGGACCGGAUAAGAUGUUGACAGAGACAUGUACAGAGCUAGACCAUAUAAAAACACAAGGACAAGGGACCAGAUAUGAACCAAGGAAAGAUCCUCAGAAGAAACCAACCCUGCUGAUAACCCUGGUCUCAGACUUGAGACUCAGACUGUGAGGAGCCAAUUAUGUGCAGCCGUGGAGAUACAGAUCCCAUGUCAACACAUUUUCCAGUGUGAGAGUCUUUUAUUUUUGAAUUUUGGGAGGAGGACUGGCUUUACGGGUGUGCGACAUGAGCAAUCCCACAAGAUCCGUUACUUAGAAGUGAGUGGUCCAUGUUUGUCUUGAUGUCCUGCUCUCUCCAUCUUCAAAUUCUUAAUUCCCAACAGGGGUCUUGCCUUUUCAUAUGUGACUAGGCCUCUGGACAUUAUGGAACUAGUCUAGUGACAAAUGAUAUGAAAUAUAAGUGAUGUGUGUAUUAAGAUUAUGGGAGCCCAAAUCAAACAUGGCUAGGGGCUACAGUGACCUUGGGAUAUUGCACUGAAUUUUUUGUUCUAACUGCAUUAAGAUUUUCCAUCCCUGAUAACCACUGGGAAAGAGUUUAUAGAACCCAGAAGUUUGUCAGAGAUGGAAGGAAAGCCACCAGAUAUGAUUCUCUUAGAUGAAUUAAUGUGGCCCAGGCUGGAUUUUUUUGUUGUUGUUGUUGUUUGUUCAUUUGUUUGUUGUUGUUUUUAGAGCUCAGCCUUAAGAACCUCACAAGUAUCGUUUCAGUAUUUUUUAAUUAAUUUUUACUCUCUGUGUGUAGGGUGUGCACACCCAUGCCUGUGUGCACGCAUGUGUGUAUGUCAAUCUCUCUUCAUCUUACUUUUUGAGACACUGUGUCUCAUACUACAUAGGGAGCCCAUCAACAGUCUGCAAUGGCUGCCCAGGGAAGUCUGGAGAUCCUUCUGUCUCCACCCUUACCCCUAGCACUAAGAUCACAAACACAUCAGCACAGGAGACCUUUAUAUAGGUAUUGGGGAUCCGAAUUAGGCUCCUGUGCUUUCCUGGCAAGUACCAACUGAAGUUUCCUCGCAGAGCCUCAGUGAGACUCGG
ensembl:lncRNA